UAAAAGGGUGCUUGCCGUUUUUCUACAUUUUCUUAUGGCACAUCUGAGCGUUGCCGAACUGGAAGAGUCCCGGUUAGGCAGACGUUCCGGUGGGGUAUGGCUAUCAAGACAUAUCCAGCACGUAAUUUUUGUCGUCACGAAGGCUGUUGACUCGCUACUUUUGCGUCGACGUCUUC